GGGAGAGGGAAGAACAGAGGCGGAUAAGGGAAGAGAGCAGGGCUGAAAGGAGAGAUGCUCUGCUGACUACUCUGCUGAGCAAACUAGUUCACGAAAAUGAUAUCGAUGGUAUAUAGGUCAGUGGGAUUCUCUCAUCGAUCGCUCCAUUGCUUGGCAAUUUUGUGGUUAUUUGCUUGUUUUAUUUUGGGUAAUCAAUAGAGAGUUUGAUGAUGGCUAUCGCUUGUGAAAAUGACAAUGUUGACAAACCCUUUUUAAUUUGAAUUUUUGUUGUGAAAAAAAAGGGGAAAAUCUAGAAAGAGAAUAUGAACAGGAAAAACUUGUUCAAUUUCUAUUAGUUUUUGCAUACAAGGUGGAACUUUUUCUUUGGUCGAAGUUGACAUCUACAGGCCUGGUUCAGAGAAAUUCAUGUGUUGCUGUUAAGCUGGAGAAACUGUAUGUUCUUAUGUUUACAGCUCUUGGGACUUGUACAUAAUUUUUCUCUUGGAAGAAAAUCAAACUGAAAUUUAUAUGUUAAAUGUUUACAUUUUUUUUUUCAAUUGAAUCAAGUAGCUGUUUUGUUAGAUGUAAUACUGUUAUGAAGUGAUUGGAUCAAAGGAAAAUUAAGAUGUUACGGGGUUUUUCC
rnacentral:misc_RNA from 1 species